rnacentral:rRNA from 1 species
UACGUAGGCAGCAAGCGUUGUUCGGAAUUACUGGGCGUAAAGAGUGUGUAGGCGGUGUUCUAAGUCUGGUGUGAAAUCUCCCGGCUCAACUGGGAGGGUGCGCUAGAAACUGGAAUGCUAGAGGAUGGGAGAGGUAAGCGGAAUUCCUGGUGUAGCGGUGAAAUGCGUAGAUAUCAGGAGGAACACCUGUGGUGUAGACAGCUUACUGGACCAUUUCUGACGCUGAGACACGAAAGCGUGGGUAGCAAACAGG